rnacentral:rRNA from 1 species
AGAACGAACGCUGGCGGCAGGCCUAACACAUGCAAGUCGAACGCUCGUAGCAAUACGGGAGUGGCGCACGGGUGAGUAACGCGUGGGCACCUGCCCGGUGGUUUGGGAUAACCGUGGGAAACUGCGGCUAAUACCGGAUACGCCCCUAGGGGGAAGAUUUAUCGCCAUCGGAUGGCCCGCGUAGGAUUAGCUAGUUGUGAGGUACGGCUCGACCAGGCGACGAUCCUUAGCUGGUCUGAGAGGAUGAUCAGCCACACUGGGACUGAGACACGGCCCAGACUCCGUACGGGACGGCAGCAGUGGGGAAUAUUGGACAAGUGGGGGCAACCGUGAUCCAGCCAUGCCGCGUGAGGUGAAGAAGGCCUGGGUGUAAGCUU